ensembl:lncRNA
AUAUAAUAUAUAUAUAUAUAUAUAUAUAUAUAUAUAUAUAUAUAUAUAUAUAUAUAUAUAUAUAAUAUAAGCGUCAGCACCCAUGGGGACUAAUCUAAUUGCAAGGACAAAAGUAACCAAUGCAAUUCUUCAAAAUGUACUUUUAAAUUGUACGAUUUGGAACAACUUGAGGGUGAGUAAUUAACGGCAGAGUUUUUAUUUUGGGUGAAAUAUAUGGCAAUUAAACGUUUCAAAAGUAGCACACUAGCUCGCGAGGGAGCAUUUCUGCACUGCGAACGCACAGAACAUUAUCCGCACACAAAAAUGUGCCCUCGCGAGAACUGCUCAGAGGAGCACUAGCUUUAUGCCCUUGUAACUGCUUAACCCCUGCUCACUCGUCAAAAUGACUUUUGAGACUUGGAGAUGUCUCUGCUCCUGUGAACGGUCACUUUCAACAUGACCUUAGGAAUAGCUUUUAUAUAUAUAUUUUUUUUAUUAAUUAAUCAUGUACAAACAACAUGGCAACACCAAUACAUCUUUGCUUUAGAAUAUAAGGAACAGUGUUGAAAAGGCUCUAAGUUAAUUCUUAUUGGUGGGUGAAUGAUUGACAGUCGUAACUUAGUCCCGCCCCCAGAGGGUGACGCAACUUAUGUUUCGCUUGAAGGCUGUGGAGGGCUCGCGUGUAUUCAAGCCAUAGAUGAGUGUGCGUAACUUUGAAAAAACCACACUCACACACCCUUAAUAUGUUCAUGCCAUGCCCUGAGUAUGUUGAUGGCUUGAUCCUACUAUUAAAACAGUGAUUGGACUUUGGACUUUUGUGCAUUCUUACCGAUGUCCUGUGAUGAUCCCAACUAAGUCGGAACCAGGCAAUACAGUCCAUAAACCUAAUUAACAUUGGUCCUUCGAGCCGGAACGGUGAUUGCAACAGGUUAAGAUGUCCAAAGCCCAUUCAGAGUCACAGUGUGAGCCUGAAGUCCGUAGUAGACGACCAUCACGCCCCCCACGCCACUUGGAAGAUUAUGAGGUGGAUUACAGCGGCUUCCAGCAUUCAUAUCCACCUACUUCCAGGAUGCAAACAGAGCCUUACCGCUGGGAGUCAGGGAAUGAGGGUGCUGUCGGGAUGACACCCUUCACCAGGUGGCAUGCUACUCACCGCGGUGAUGUUACUGAGGAUACUGGAGAUCAGUAUGUACCACAAGAUGCUCAAACAGUGAUUUGGCAGCUACGAGAAGAGAACAGACGCCUGCAUAAAACCAUUGAGGACAUGAAACACAGCUCAGAAAGGGAGGAAACCGACUCAUCACAGUGUCCUGUGCCUUUUCCUCGCACUCACUCAUCGACAAAGGCAGCAAAGAAACCUUCUCCUGUCCCAACUCCACGUCUAAGCAAGUUAGCAGUAGCUCAAAUGAGUGAUCAGAUUUCUAAAGAGACUGGAAAACCAGUUAUGGAUAAAGGAAAGGAACAGUCGGAAGAUGAGGAGCUAGACUGUGAAAUUAAUUUGUCAGGUGAACUUUCAGAAAUGAAACUGCAGCCCACAUCAAAGAACAGGUAUGUGCAAUAUCAACCAAAUUCACCAAAUCCAUGUACAUUGCAAUCUCAGCACAAGAUAAGUGUACACGCUGCACAAAGUGCAAGCUAUGCACAUGACCAAAGACAUAUCCCACCAAAGCCACAAAUACGUGAUCCUUCCCCUGCAGCUGACUUUAGAUUCAGAGAACGAAUUGAUUACCACCCAAGACAACAUUUUCAUCCUAGAGACUUUGUUCAGCGCUCUCAUUCUCCUCCCACCAGAGAGAGCAUUUACAGAGGUCCGAGCCCUUCAAUACCAGACUUCACAGUGGAAGACCCACGACAGUUUGCUAGACUCAAAAUAUCUCUUGACAAUUUGCUGCCAUACGAUGCUACUGAACAGUUUAAAUAUCAAAUUCUGCUUGAGCAUCUGAAAUUCGAAGAGGCCCUUUUAAUUGCUGAUUCCUACAGCAACUCCCGUUAUCCAUACAGCCAAACAAUGCAAUCGCUGACUGAACAUUAUGGACAGCCGCAUCAAUUGGCGUUGCAGAAAAUUGCUGACUUGAUGGACGGACCAAAUAUUCGCAGUGGUGACACUCAGGCCUUUCGUAAGUUUGCCCUCAGAGUUCGAGCAUUAGUGGGUAUGCUUGACCAGCUGGAUGAGAAGGGAGCUAUUGAAUUGCAGUGUGGUUCACAUGUGGCAAGACUCAUGUCUAAACUCCCUCAUGAUCUCAAGGCUAACUUCAAGAGGUAUGUUCACCCCCUCAGAAACCCAAUUCCAAACCUGCUCGACUUUUCACACUGGCUUGAGUUUGAGCUGCAGGUGCAGCCCACUGACUGUAAACUCAAUACUAGUGAAAUGAGGGGACAAAUUAGUCAGCACAAAGAAGCUCCGCGACAGCGUAAGCACACUUUUCAGUCAACAGCCAUUUUGCAUGGUGUGGAUCAGUCAGCAGACCCUCCAGCUGCAAAAUCAUCAGAAUUUCAAAAUCCUGGCAAAAUUGUGUACUGUCAUUACUGUGAUAAUAAUCACCACUAUCUUAACCAGUGCAAUAACUUCACACAGCUAACCAGUGAGCUCAAAACUAACUGGAUUAAGUCAAAUAAGAGAUGUUGGAGGUGUGGACGGAAACAUCAGGCAGCCCAGUGCAGAUUGAAAGCCACAUGCAAAACUUGCAAUGGCAAACAUCUAACUGUUUUGCAUGACAUCAACAGCAAAUCAACAGAGAUGAAGCACAACCAUGAAAGAUCCCAAGAGAGUCAGAUGUUAUACCUAGAUCGUCCAGCAGGUGGUAGCCAAGUCCUUCUGAAAAUUUGUAAAGUGCUGUUGCGUAAUGGCAAAAAUUCAAUUAUGACUUAUGCUAUUUUGGACGAUGGCUCUGAACGUACAAUCCUGCUUCAUGGUGCAGCACAGCAGCUUAAACUUAAUGGACAGACUGAAGCCCUCUCUUUGAGAACGGUUCGACAUGACACCCAAGUCAUACAAGGUACAAGAGUAUCUUUCACUCUGUCCCCAGCAUUUCAGCCAAGCAAAAGGUUCAAGAUAACGGGUGCCUUUACAGCUGAGAAUUUCGGCUUGGCCAAGCAUUCACAUCCAGUUACCCUUCUGCAAAGGAAAUACCAGCAUCUCAAAGGGCUGCCUCUUCAUGCCUUUGCUCAGGUUCAGCCAUUGUUGCUUAUAGGCUCUGAUCAUCACCAUUUAAUCAUGCCCAUGGAGCCAGUUCACUUCGGCCCACCAGGCGGGCCAGCUGCUAUAAGGACCAGAUUAGGCUGGACACUGCAAGGGCCAGCCAAUGUACUCCAGCACCAAAUCCCAGAGCAUCAAUGCCUUUUCACAUCUGUGACUUCCACCUCAUCAGAGCUGUUGCAACAUGUUGAGAGACUCUGGCAGCUUGACAUACUACCAUAUCGCAAUGAGAAGGUGGUGACACGUUCACGUUGUGACCAGGAGGCCAUCACUCUGCUUGAGACCAAGACUGUAAGGGUAAAUGUAAAUGGAGUGUUUCGUUAUGCUACACCGCUUCUGCGAAAAAUGGACAUGCCCGAAUUGAAAGCGCCUAAAGAGUCUGUUCUCCCCAACCUCAGAGCUUUAGAAAGGCGUCUCAGUAAAAGUCCCGAACAUGCAAAGGCAUAUAACCAGGAAAUUGAAAGGCUGGAUCAAUCUGGUUAUGUUGUCAAGCUGGCUGCUGAAGCAGUUGAUCACAGCCCUGAAUCAUGGUACAUACCGCACCACAUGGUACACCGUAACGGAAAGCACAGAGUAGUGUACAACUGUUCCUUUCAUUACCAAGGCCAUAACCUCAAUGAGUACCUCCUAGCUGGGCCUACCCUCACCUCCACUUUGCUAGGAGUGUUACUCCGAUUCAGAGAGCAUGCAAUUGCCAUCACAAGCGAUAUCAAGGGCAUGUUUCACCAGAUUCGUCUGCUCCCAGAGGAUAAACCACUUCUCAGAUUUCUGUGGAGAAACAUGCAGCGUGAUACACCAGUCAGUGUCUAUGAAUGGCAGGUUUUGCCUUUUGGGACUACAUGCAGCCCGUGCUGUGCAACAUUUGCCGUCCUAAAACAUGUCCAAGAGAACACUGUUCCAGGAGAAGAGACACGUGUGGCUGUAGAAAAACAUUUCUAUGUGGACAAUUUCCUGCAGAGUGUAACUUCUAUUGACAAAGCGACUGAACUGGUGAAUAAGAUUCAAGCUCUUUUAGUUUCUGGUGGGUUCGAGUUAAGACAAUGGGCUAGCAACAUUCCUUCUGUCGUUGCACACCUUCCUGUAGAAUCCAGAUCUGAGAGAAAUGAGCUUUGGCUUACUGAAAAGGAAUGGGAUGUCUCUGUAUCCACCUUGGGUCUACAUUGGCUUUGCCAAGCAGACACACUUGGUUACAAAGCUCGUCUGAAGGAACCACAAGUUUCUACAAUGAGGUAUGUCUAUCAGGUCGUAGCUAGUCAGUAUGACCCACUUGGCUACAUUAUCCCCUUCACAACCAGAGCCAAAGUACUGAUACAAAGACUGUGGGAUAAAAAACGAGAGUGGGAUGACCCAUUGCUACCAAGUGACCUCUUGCAAGCCUGGCUUGAAUGGGAAGCAGAAUUGCAGUACCUGAAAUGCGUAUGGGUCAGUGGCGUAUCUUAGAACAGAGAGUCCUCAAGGCCAAGUCGAGGUUGCAUUUAUCACAGCAAGAUCAAGGGUGGCACCAAAGCGGCAGUUAUCUGUUCCCCGGCUAGAACUCUGUGCAGCACUUAGUGGGGCUCAAUUGGCAAGACUUCUGGAAAAGGAACUCACCCUGAACAUUCAACAGGUGACAUUGUGGAGUGACUCAAAGACAGUUUUAUCUUGGAUUCAAUCAGAUUCAUGCAGAUAUAAAGUGUUUGUUGGCACAAGGAUUGCAGAAAUUCAGGAACUGACUGCUUCUCAGGCAUGGCAUUAUGUGAAGUCUGAAAACAAUCCUGCAGAUGACAUUACCCAUGGUAAAACACUUCACCAACUCUCAGUGCCAAGUCACUGGAAACAAGGACCACAUUUUUUGUGGCAAGACCCAAGUACCUGGUCUAAUGACACGGAGGAAUUGGUCACAGACAGUACAGAUGAAGAGGAGAAAGUUACCUUCUGCAGCCUGACCACAGUAGAUUUCUCCGACAUCAUGCAAGAAUUCUCAUCAUACCACAGUUUUGAUCAACUGGUGGAACAUGAAGCACAGAAACAAUUAAAACAAGCCAAUCGGACAAGAGAUUUAUCCGCCCAAGACUACGUAGCUGCUGAGAUAUCACUCUUUAAACAAGCCCAAGCUAUGUGUUUCCCAGUUGAACUUGAUACAUUAACAUGUGGUAAAUCUUUGCCUCCCAACAGCAGAUUAGUCUCACUUGCACCGGAGAUUGACCAAUCUACUGGGCUCAUAAGAGUUGGUGGCCGUUUGCGACGUAGUGAGCUGCUUAGGCCAGAUACUGUCCAUCCAAUUGUCAUUGAUCCCAAACACCCACUCAGUCAACUCCUGAUCCAACAUUAUGAUGAAAAACUUCAUCAUCCUGGCCCAGAAAGAGUAUUUGCUGAGUUACGCCGUAAAUACUGGAUCAUCAGAGGGCGAGAAGCAGUACGGCGGCACCAACAUCAGUGUCGUGAAUGCAAAAAAUGGCGUGGAAAGCCUGAAGUGCCAAAAAUGGCUGAUUUACCACCAGCCCGACUCCGUCUCUACCGCCCAGCUUUUUAUUCGACAGGUGUUGAUUGUUUUGGGCCUUAUACAAUCAAAGUAGGCCGGCGCAAUGAAAAACGGUGGGGGAUCAUAUUUAAAUGUAUGACGACCAGAGGAGUCUACAUUGAUUUACUUCCUAAAAUUGAUACAGAUUCAUUCCUCAUGGCCCUACGCAGAUUCACUGCACGCAGAGGAACUCCCCAUGAACUCUAUUCUGACCGGGGAACCAACUUCAAGGGAGGAGAAAGGGAACUAUCAGAAGCAUUUGCGGCCAUGCAACCCAAUCUGCAAAGUCAGCUUGCAAAGCAGAAAAUUCAGUUUAAAUUCAAUCCCCCUGGAGCUCCUCAUUUUGGUGGACUAUGGGAGAGGGAGAUCAGGUCUCUAAAAUCUGCUCUCAAUGUUACCCUUGGAGCCCAACAUGUAACUGAGGAAGUGCUUAGCACAGUGCUUACAGAGAUCGAAGGCAUGUUAAACUCCAAACCCCUGGGCUACGUGUCAUCGGACAUUGCAGAUGUUGACCCCAUCACACCAAACAGCCUGUUAUUGGGGCGGCCAGACCCUGAUUUACCACAAAUUGUAUACCCUGAGUCCGAAUUACUUAGCAGAAAACGCUGGAGACAUAGCCAGGUCCUUGCCGACCAUUUUUGGGCCCACUUCAUCAAGAGAUACUUGCCUGAACUGCAAACUCGUACAAAGUGGAUUACUGAGACUGGCAAAGAUCUAAAGACCGGGACAGUAGUGAUGAUAGUGGAUCACCAAUUGCCUCGAGCCCUCUGGCCAGUGGGUAAGGUCUCAGCCACAGUACCCGGUGCUGAUGGGAAAAUUAGAACUGCUGAAGUACAAGUGCAGGGUCGGAAAUACAUCCGACCAGUGAGUAAACUUAUCUGUUUGCCACCUCUACCUGAGGAUAACAAAGACUCGUAAGCCUUUUCUAAGUAGAAUUUACAACGUAAAUUGGGGCGGCUGUUGAAAAGGCUCUAAGUUAAUUCUUAUUGGUGGGUGAAUGAUUGACAGUCGUAACUUAGUCCCGCCCCCAGAGGGUGACGCAACUUAUGUUUCGCUUGAAGGCUGUGGAGGGCUCGCGUGUAUUCAAGCCAUAGAUGAGUGUGCGUAACUUUGAAAGUAAGUUUAAUUUCCACUUAUACCGUCUUUAAUCUUGUUUCUAUUGUUAUUUGCUGUAUUAUGGGUUGAAACGUUCAGAUGUUGAGUGUUUUCGGAUUUCCGUGAGGCUAAUGUUAGCGGUAUGACUGUGUGCAUUAUCUUUGCACGUGUGUUCCGAUGCGCGCUGUAUAAGUGAAAUAAUCACAACGACUCAUAUUUUUUUUCCAUAUGUUUACUUUAUUGUCUACAAUUUACAGAUGUUAUUAAGCCAUAUUUAUGUGGAUUGUGAAGAUUACACUCGAUUGAGAUAUGGUUAUAAGACGAUAGUCACGUGUCUAUUUAUAGUCAAUUGUUACAUUUUAUAGUCAUGUAUCCUCACGCGUUUGAGUGAAAUGUAUAUCAUUUAUUACUGUAAACUGAUUAUUUAUAUUUCUGUUUUAUUGUAGAAACCACACUCACACACCCUUAAUAUGUUCAUGCCAUGCCCUGAGUAUGUUGAUGGCUUGAUCCUACUAUUAAAACAGUGAUUGGACUUUGGACUUUUGUGCAUUCUUACCGAUGUCCUGUGAUGAUCCCAACUAAGUCGGAACCAGGCAAUACAGUCCAUAAACCUAAUUAACAAACAGAUAUAAAAUGUGAAACAUCUGUGUUGUGAUGAACUUUUAAAAGGUAAGACAUUUAUAGAAUACAAUUUUGUAACCUAUAGCUAUAUUUAGACUAUAUCCAGCCUUAUACAAAGACUUCAGAAGACCCAACACCUGUGAAGAGAUGACGCCAACCCUUGAGAGGAUUUCAGAUGAUGCCAACUCUGAAUAAGCAUACAAAACUGCCCAAUUUUCUGAAAAGCUGAUUUGAAACAAUGUGUAUGAUAAAACGUGCUAUACAAAUAAAUGUGAAUUGAAUCAAAUUUGAUGCAUCAUUUUUCUCCUUCUCUCUGCAUCAGUAGGGAAACGGUACAUUCAUUCUUCUUUCUGUGAGUGAGUGGAGCAUUCCCAUGCAGCACAAACCAUGGUAAGAGACUAUACAAGGACAACAUGCUUUUCAGCUUAUUAUGCAUGUAUUAAUCCAUUGCUGUAAAUAAGUGCAUAACAAAAGUCAACAUACAUAAAAUAUAUGAUUAAAUGUGUAAAAGAAUGUUUUAAGUUGUUUUAAAUUUGAAUAUACUGUGAAUAUUUAUAUAUAUUAAUAAUUGAGGGGUGCACAAAAAUCCAAAAUAUUAAACAAAAUUAAUUUUCAUUUAAUGUAAUCCUAAAAUUCACUUAUUGGGAAUGAUUUUUUUAAGACAACGCACUAAACAUUGUUAUUAAGAUUAAUUAGGCCCUCAGUUACCCUGAGAUUAGUGAAACAACAAUGAACAUUAAUACAUGAUUGCACUUGUAUAACAUACAAGUUUAAGAACAUAUAUAUAUAUAUAUAUAUAUAUAUAUAUAUAUAUAUAUAUAUAUAUAUAUAUAUAUAUAUAUAUAUAUAUAUAUAUAUAUAUAUAUUAUAUAUAUAUAUAUAUAUAUAUAUAUAUAUAUAUAUAUAUAUAUAUUAGUGCUGUCAAAAGAUUAAUCGUGAUUAAUC